rnacentral:lncRNA from 1 species
UUUUAUAAUUCACACAAAAGAAAAAGAGAUAAGAUUCCAAGUGAAUUGUGUUUUCAUUUAUGAUUUAUUUAUAUCCUUUGCUAAAUAAUUGAGAUGUCUAUUCCUUGUGCCCACCUUAUCUUUAUUCGUGUCUAUGAACGAUUUGUUUGAGAAAAAUAUCUGUCGAUGUGAAUAUUAAUUAAAUGUAUUAAUAUUUGUAUGUUACACCUUCUCGAAAGUCAUAGCGUUUUAUGUUUUUUAAUGUUGAUAACAUUAUAGGAUGACAUAAUUCAGUUUUAAAUCAUGGUGAAAAAGAUAUGUUUUGGUAUACCAAAUAAAGUGCAAACCGAUACGAACAAAUCAAAUAUAGGUGAGGGGUCACUUGAUCGUUAACGAGAUCUUGAACAUUUAGUAAUAACAUUCUCAUUCUCAUGGUUACGAUGAAUGUUGUGUGAUCGUAUUAACAAUAGUACGGUGAAUGAUAUAACAAACAAAUUAGUGUCGUCAUAUAUAGACAAACAAGUUUAUACCAUGUGACUAAUUGUCGUAGAAUACGCUAAAAAUGUAACCGUUUUAAAAAUUAGUACGAUGAGUCGCAUAAUGGAUGAGUCAACGUCGUUAUCUUGUCUCCAAAAUCGGGUUUAGAUCGUGUGACUGAUCGACUUUUAUAAACACGUAGCUCUAAAAAAUUAUGCACAGCAAAUUCACGUGUUAUGUGUGAAAGUCCCACAUCAACUGACAUUAGGACUUAUCAAGAAUUCUUAAACUAAAAUAGUACCGGCUUUUACACGCUUUAACGACUUAGAAACCAAAGAUCGUUUUUAACCUCUUCCACGUCAACAAAAUAGACCGAUUUGUCCACUAUGGAAUCCACAUAGAUUGGUCCACCAAACAAACAAAAGUACUAAAGUUAGCUUCAAGUAUAACAACACAAUUACAAAAUUUAUACAUUAGAAAAUUCAUGGUAUCAUAUAUUUAUAAACACACAAUAUAACAUUAGAAAAUUCAUGGUAUCAUAUAUUUAUAAACACACAAUAUAACGUUACAAAACUUACAUAAUAUUGUGCAUAU